AAUACCGCGUGUGUGAAGAAGGCCUGAGGGUUGUAAAGCACUUUCAAUAGGAAGGAAUACCUAUCGGCUAAUACCCGGUAGACUGACAUUACCUAUACAAGAAGCACCGGCUAACUCCGUGCCAGCAGCCGCGGUAAUACGGAGGGUGCAAGCGUUAAUCGGAAUUACUGGGCGUAAAGCGUGCGUAGGCGGUUAUUUAAGUCAGAUGUGAAAGCCCUGGGCUUAACCUGGGAACUGCAUUUGAUACUGGGUAACUAGAGUUUAGUAGAGGGGAGUGGAAUUUCAGGUGUAGCGGUGAAAUGCGUAGAGAUCUGAAGGAACACCAGUGGCGAAGGCGGAUCCCUGGACUAAAACUGACGCUGAGGUACGAAAGCGUGGGUAGCAAACAGGAUUAGAUACCCUGGUAGUCCACGCCGUAAACGAUGUCAACUAACUGUUGGGUUCUUUAAGAACUUAGUAGUGGAGCUAACGUAUUAAGUUGACCGCCUGGGGAGUACGGCCGCAAGGCUAAAACUCAAAUGAAUUGACGGGGGCCCGCACAAGCGGUGGAGCA
rnacentral:rRNA from 1 species